CCAAUAGCGUAUAUUAAAGUUGUUGCAGUUAAAAAGCUCGUAGUUGAAUUUCGGGAUCAAUGUUUCGGUCAUGCCGUUGGUAUGUACUGAUAUUAUUGGGUUCUCACCUUCUAAAGAACCAUAAUGCCAUUAAUUUGGUGUCACGGGGAAUUAGGACUGUUACCUUGAAAAAAUUAGAGUGUUUAAAGCAGGCUCACGCUUGAAUACAUUAGCAUGGAAUAAUGAAAUAGGACAUCCGAUUCUAUUUUGUUGGUUUCUAGGAUCGAUGUAAUGAUUAAUAUGGAUAGUUGGGGGCAUUAGUAUUCAAUUGUCAGAGGUGAAAUUCUUGGAUUUAUUGAAGACUAACUACUGCGAAAGCAUUUGCCAAGGAUGUUUUCAUUAAUCAAGAACGAAAGUUAGGGGAUCGAAGACGAUCAGAUACCGUCGUAGUCUUAACCAUAAACUAUGCCGACUAGGGAAUUGGAUGAUGUUAAUUUUUUAAUGACUCAUUCGGCGCCUUACG
rnacentral:rRNA from 1 species